CAGUCGCCGCGGGAAUACGAAGGGGGCUAGCGUUGCUCGGAAUGACUGGGCGUAAAGGGCGCGUAGGCGGUUUUGACAGUCAGAUGUGAAAUUCCUGGGCUUAACCUGGGGGCUGCAUUUGAGACGUCAAGACUAGAGUGUGAGAGAGGGUUGUGGAAUUCCCAGUGUAGAGGUGAAAUUCGUAGAUAUUGGGAAGAACACCGGUGGCGAAGGCGGCAACCUGGCUCAUUACUGACGCUGAGGUGCGAAAGCGUGGGGAGCAAACAGGAUUAGAUACCCCCGUAGUCCCUGUCUCUUAUAC
rnacentral:rRNA from 1 species